CUGAUACACAAUGACACAUAUUCAGGUCAAAAUGUACACAUUUUCAGCCACCCUCCUGUUACUUACCUUUUGGGUGCAAGAGGAUGGAUUAUGCUGGCUGACGCUGUUGGGAGUCAGGUUCUGGCUCUCCCAAUCUGCGCCUUCUCCUCCCUAUCUCUCCUGCAUGUUUCUGUAUUAACUAGGAGGAAAUUACUGGCUUUCAUUUCCUCCAAGCGCUGCCAU